CCUUGUCCCGGCCCCGCCGCCAUCGCGUCCCCCUCACGCCGCUCCCGCAGGCCCGGACACGCCGAGGCGACGCUGCCUUUGUCCCACCCCCCCAGUCGCCAACAGCCAAUGGCAGCGCGCGGCACUGCCGGCGUGGUCGAGCGGGCACCAAUGGGAAGGCGCGUUAGGGGCGGUCAGGGCGGUGCGAGCGUUUCCAGCCCCGUGAGGAGGCCUGAGGGGCCGGGAAGGGGCGGGAGGAGCCAGCGGCGUUUCCCUUGCCCGUUAACGUUGGGCUCCGCUUCGUCCGCGGCACCGGUACCGGUACCGGAGCGGUGGUGCUCAGUGACCGCCUCAAGCACCGCCCAGGCCCCAGAGCCCGGCUGUCCCGUGCCACACUGUGUAGCGGCGGCUCCACCUCAGAGGGAUCGGAAGAGAGAGAGGAGGGAAGAACUAAACCAUGGUGGAGAAAUAAAAACAGCAGGAUUUCAAACAUCUUCUGCACCCUCAAGUCCGUGGAGAACUGAAUGCGCAGCUGUGCCAACAGAGAGUGCAUGGAGCAUCAGAGGCAGAAGCCUGAGGUGCAGGGAAGCAUGAGACAGCUGAGCCUUGAGAACAAGUGGCCCCAUGCCAGCAGCUGCAGCAGCACCAGCACCUUCCAGAACACCCUGGGAUGAAAAACCAGCUCUCACCCAGCACUGCUGCCUCCUCAUGGGGCCUUUGGGAGCCCAUCCCACUGGAAACCCCACUCGUGGCUUGCACAGAGCUCAGGUUCAGGCCUGAAAUAACUGCUGAAAUGGUAAUGAAAGCUUUU